rnacentral:rRNA from 1 species
UCUAGUAUGAGAAAUUAACGAUUUAAGUCCUUCUUAAAUGAGGCCAUUUACCCAUAGAGGGUGCCAGGCCCGUAUAACGUUAAUGAUUACUAGAUGAUGUUUCCAAAGAGUCGUGUUGCUUGAUAGUGCAGCACUAAGUGGGUGGUAAACUCCAUCUAAAACUAAAUAUAACCAUGAGACCGAUAGUAAACAAGUACCGUGAGGGAAAGUUGAAAAGAACUCUGAAUAGAGAGUUAAACAGUACGUGAAACUGCUUAGAGGUUAAGCCCGAUGAACCUGAAUAUCCGUUAUGGAAAAUUCAUCAUUAAAAUUGUAAUAUUUAAACAAUAUUAUGAUAAUAGUGUGCAUUUUUUCCAUAUAAGGACAUUGUAAUCUAUUAGCAUACCAAAUUUAUCAUAAAAUAUAACUUAUAGUUUAUUCAAAUUAAAUUGCUUGCAUUUUAACACAGAAUAAAUGUUAUUAAUUUGAUAAAGUGCUGAUAGAUUUAUAUGAAUACAGUGCGUUAAUUUUUCGGAAUUAUAUAAUGGCAUGAUUAUCAUUGAUUUUUGUGUUUAUUAUAUGCACUUGUAGGAUUAACAAUGCGAAAGAUUCAGGAUACCUUCGGGACCCGUCU